ACCUCCUACGGGAGGCAGCAGUGAGGAAUAUUGGUCAAUGGGCGGGAGCCUGAACCAGCCAAGCCGCGUGAAGGAAGAAGGCGCCAGGCGUCGUAAACUUCUUUUGUCGGGGAACAAAGGGCGCCACACGUGGCGUUGUGAGUGUACCCGAAGAAAAAGCAUCGGCUAACUCCGUGCCAGCAGCCGCGGUAAUACGGAGGAUGCGAGCGUUAUCCGGAUUUAUUGGGUUUAAAGGGUGCGUAGGCGGUCCGGAAAGUCAGCGGUAAAAUCGCAGGGCUCAACCUCGCUCCGCCGUUGAAACUGGG
rnacentral:rRNA from 1 species